CUUGUCCCUACCCCGAGCACUGGGUUGCUGAUCCAGCUAUGGAGAAAGCCGCAGUUUAUGCCAAUGGAAGAGGCACAUCUGGGGAGAAGAAUGUGACUCUCCUCCUCUCACCCACUUCUUUGCCCAGUAGAUCUGCAGGACACAGCCUCGUUAACUCUGAAGUUUAAGUUUAACCCAAAGCUGGGCAUUGAUAAUCCUGUCCUCUCCCUGGCCGAAGACCACAACCCCUAUGGUAACUCCCUCACCCCCUGGCAACCAUUCCCUUUCCCUGGAGGCACCACAGCUCCACACGGCCUCCGAUCUCCUUGGUAACCACUUGCUCGGUCUCCCUCUGAUAACAGCCUUGGUUGGGGGUAGAGAUAGGAGGGGCCAGGCGUUUUCUCCUGUUCCAGUCCCUCUGUCCACGAACCCCACCACCCAACACCCAACCAGGCAGAAACUGCCCAGCGCCCUAUCAGGACACAGGGUCUGCCAGGCACAUGGCGAACCUGUACUUGGGCUGUGCCCUCUCCUCCCCCUUUUCCGCUGCCCACCUCACCCUCCAGAUCCCUGGAGCCUGGAGCGGCCUCGCUUCUGUUUACUGAGCAAAGAGGAGGGCAAGAGUUUUGGCUUCCACCUGCAGCA
rnacentral:sRNA from 1 species